GGAGCUGAGUCUCCCACCUGACUUCCGGUCCCGAGAACCUGGGUGACAGGGGACAGGUAAGACAAGGGUCCCAGUUCCACACGGGCCAGCUGCGCAGGGGCUGGUGUGCUCAGACAGGGAUGGGGUGGCCCCUCUGGCCACCGGUGACCCCAUGCCACAAAGCGGUGGCCGCUCAGUUCGGCUUCCUCAUUUUCACAGAAAGACGUAAGGAGCAGAGCCAGUGAGAAAAGGAAAAGGGGAGGAUGGAUUCCACUGGAAAAUGAAGCCCCAGAAAAACACGGAAGCCGAGGUCUAAUUUCGGUUCUGGUUUCCUGAGCCAGCAUCAAAGCAGGCCACCGAGCUCUGAGCGUCCAACUCCAAGCAGACAAAACCCUCCUUCCGUGCCUUGAAGAAACUCACGAGGCCGAGUGAUUUGUGUGACCAGGGAGAUGGGAUCCCAGCCAUAAGAGGGUUGUAAAAAACCAAAGACCAAUGCCACUCCUACUAACGUCUGUUUUGGAAGAUACAGUUAUUUUCUAUGAAAAAUCUUACCUGUGUUAUAUUUAAAGGUAAGUAUUAUAUAUAGUUUUAACUUCCAAAACUGUAAAUGUCGAUAGACAUGACCCACUCAAUCAGAAGUCCCUGAGGCCCUCAAGACUUUUCAAGGGUGAAUGGGGCGCCGGCUCCAGACGUGGGAGGCUCACCUCGGUCCGGGGAGAGGUUGGCCCGCUUGGCUGGAGGUGGGCUCUGCCUGUCCUUGUCCGAGGGCUCGUAGCGCUUCCUGCCCCCUUUAUCAGCAGCCUGGAACGACGGGGUGUUUGUGAGGAGGACCAGGGCCUGAGCGAACACAGGCCCUGGAGCAGGCGGCCACCUGCUCUCCGCCGCUGCAGGCACUCCUCUGGGGCUCCUGCGCCACGUGGCCCCAAGGGGGGCAGGGCCCACGGUCUCGAGGCCUCCACGCCAGGGGUGGGACUCAGGCCUUCCGGUCUCUCAGGGCAUCGCGGAUGUCAACUCAGAGGCCAAGUCUGCUUUGCUCCCUGCCCCAGGUCCCAGGGCUGCCGUGUGGGAACCGGCCCGUCUCCCAUCUACCCUGUGCCCACAGGCACUGCCCACAGGGCUGGCCACGAGGGCAGGAUGAAACGAGUGACGUGGAGAGCCGCCUGCCGGCCCGGCCCUGGGCCUCAGAGCCCCAGCAGCACCGCCCACGGCCUCACCUUGUUCAGCAGAGUCAACUUGAUCUCCUUGUGGGCGAUGAACGUGGCCGGUGGGGGCUGGCCGGGCGGCGCCUGCUGGGGGGUCGUGGGCUGCUGGGAGGACCUGCCGCCCGCGGGGGUUCUCGAGGGUUUGGGCGGCUGCGUGGACGGAUCCCGCUUCCGCUUAUCUGCUUUCACACCGUCUUCUUUCUUAGACUUUCCUGCCCGUGAGAAAUGCCCAUCAGAGCCUCUGUUCCGCUGAGGCGGCCGCCCGCGUGCCGUCUGGGGGAGGCGUCAUCACUGGCAGCGUGGGGCCGCUGCACGCCCCCUCCCCUGCACACAGGCUCUACCUUUCUCCUUCUUGGUCUGGGCUGGGGUGGGGGACCGCGAGCUAGCCGAGGACACGGGGCUUGCCAGGUCCGCAUACAUGUCGUCCGAGUCCACGCUGUGCGCUGAGCUGCUGCUCGACGUGGCGCUGGACACGGAGGAGACGCUGCUCACGCUCAGGGACCUGCACGCACAAGCACGUCUGCACCGCGGCCCCAGCCCGAGACCCGAUUCCUGUUCCCAGGGAAGGGGAACCCACCCAGCCCGAGAUGUGGGGGGCUCUGGGCACUCUAUAGGUGCCGCCCAGGGAGGGGACGCCCACGUGGUUGUGGCCAGGCCCUCGUGCUCACAGGUGACUGUGCUGUUAGCUGGGCAGGGACACACGGCUGACUGUGACCAAGAGCUGGACACCCACCCUGGCGACGGGGCACAACAGAGGGCGGACAUGGGCCACAGCGCGAGCAGACGCUGUGCCAGACAACCCAACGGGCCCACUCAGGAGGCGCUGAACAUGGCCGAUCUCCUAGGCCCUCACAGCCCAGGCUCCACAGGGACUCCCGCCCUCUGAGAAAACCGGCAGCACUGCGUCCUAAGACCUUCUCGAUCGGCCGCCCCCAGCUGCCUCAGCCCGUCCCCGCUCCUCGCCGGAGCGGCUCGGGAACAGCUCCUCGGACCCACGGUGCCGCCACCCGAGGGAGGAGGGUGCUCACACCUAACGUGGCCUCUCCCGGGGUUCCCUGGACCCUGACUGGGGGGACAGAGGCAGAUGCCGAUGGGACUGGGGCCAGAGAGACGUGAUAAUGACCUGGAUCUGGAACUAGAGCCGCUGUAGCUGCUGCCGCUGCCGCUGCCGCUGACAGUCCGCCUACAAGACAACGAAGAGCCCGGCUGCUCACGUUUCUGUGGCCUUGACACGCGGGUGCUCCUCCAAGCCGGGGCUCGCUGGCCUGAGACCAACGCGCCCCCAGUGACUCGCCACCGACCGGGCAGUGGGCGGGGCUCUGAUUCCCUCAAAGUGAACCAACCACAGCCCUGGCCAGCUCCCCUCACACUGUGCCUCCAGCAAGGGGGAACUUGGCACCGAGGGAGCACCCAGGCCCCUCGCAGCCAUCGAGCUGCUGGGGACACCGAGGCUCGGUGACGUGCCGCGGUCCCUGGCCUCUGCUGCCUGCGAGCACCCCUCCGCCAGCCCUGAAAGGCCGGGGCACUCACCUCCUGGGUGGGCUCCUGGCCUGCCGCUCCCUCCUCCUGGCUUCCCGAAGGUCUCCGGGCUUGGUGGGCUCGGGGGCAGGAGCGGUGGUUUUGGGGGCCUGCGGUGGGGCUGGAGGUGGGGCUGGCUUCUUCAGCAGCUUCUCUCUGUGACGUGGGACAGAGGAAGGGUCAGACCCGGCUGGGCAGGCAGAGGCGGCCCUGCCGGCCGACCUCGGGGCGCGUGCAGUGCAUGCGCACACUCCCCUGUGAGGAGCUGUUUCCCGCGGACCCCCACCCCACACUGAGCACCCCACGGCCUCCCCCUCCAAGGAAGGACAGGGAGGAAGACGGGGCCGGCUGAAGAGCCCCGGAGCAGUGCCGAGAGCUGGGCUGUGCUCCCUCAGUAAUUGGGGACCCCAGGGGAGUCGGGAAAAUGGCCCCCAAGCUGUUCUUCACCGUUGCGUGGGGAAGAUACCCUGCCAGUUUGUUAAGCGCCCUAAACACGCACAGUGCAGACGGGCCACAGAGCAGACCCUGCCAGCAAAGCUGACGCCGGCAGGAAGCAGAGUCUGCGCUGGAGGAAGCUGCUCAGCAGAGCAGCAGGGCUGAAUCCAACCCGUGCCGACCAGGAGGCAGACCCGCACUCACCCUGCCCAACGCCAUCUGCGUGAAGCCUGGGGACCCGAAGCGCCUGCACUGUGGUCGGGGUCCCCCCACAACAGUACAGUUCAGGUGGGCGCGGUGCCUGGGGCCUAAGUCACAUGCCAACACCGUUCCCUGUCUAACAGUGAGCCGCCCAGGGCUCCCUAAGCCUGAGGCCCGGGAGCCGACCCCGUUCAGGAGGAAAACCUGCCACGGGGGCUGGGGCCAGACGCGCGUGGGGACGGCCAACAUCAGGACGGGCCUCGCGCUUGGCAGAGCUGCAGGAGCGGAGCGUACUCUCACCCGGCGGACCACGCACCCCAACCCUGCAUGCCAGGUAUUGUGAGGUUUGUGUGCUAAGUCCUAGAUGCUUCUAACCCCUCCCGUCGUCACAUCUGUUGAGAAGGAUCGAUGUGACCAGUCCCAGGAGCAGCAGAGAAGGUGAGGACGGCAGGGCUGAGGCUGCCACGGACACAGCCAGGGCAGAGCACAGCAGGUCCCCAGGGCAAGGGGCCCUCACGUGCCGCACUGGCUCCUGACAAGUGAGGCUCCAGCACCAGAGUGAGCACGCUGGAGCACGGAUGUCCUGGCCCACAGCCAGGAAGUGCGAGGCCAGGCCUACGCCCCGCGCCCCUGCCCACUUCCCGGGGCCGCCGCAGCACUCACCCUGCUUUUGCGGGAGGCGGAGCCGGCUCCCCCUUGGUUCUGACAGGUCUGUGCGGCGAGGGCGUCGGGGACGGGGACGGGGACGAGGAGAAGGACCGGGACCUAUAAGGGAGUGAACCGAGGUGAGAGGAGGUGCUCCGCCCGGCCACACCCCCGCAGGGGCUUCCGAUCAGCCUCGGACAGGUCUCGGUCAUCUCCUCAAAUGCAUGUCACAGGGGAAAAGAGGUGCCAAGGGGCAGGCAGCACCCCAUCAGCCAUCACCUGGGAGCCGGCGGGGAGGCCCUGGGACAGUCGGUGGGGCUCGCAAACACAACCCGAGGGGAAGGUUAAGUAGCGAAGAAAGCGCCCCCGACUUUGUGAGAACAGCUCAGCCGUAUACAGACCACACACAGGGCCUUCUUCCGUCUGUCCCCGUGUCACCCACUGCUCACAGAGGGGAGACUGCAGGUAAGCCCCCCACACCCUGGGAUUUCCAGAACCCCCAAUUUAUCAGCUUGGUUCCAGGCUUCUUCCCCACAGCUCACCAGCCUUAUUUUUCACGUGAAACCACAGAAGGCUUCUCCUGCCACGGAUGAUCGGUAUCUUCACUGUCUCCCUCUCAGCCUCCUACAGGCAGCCUUCCCCUGGACACCCAGGCACUGCUCACACUCCUGGCAGGACGGCCGUGAGGCCCAGUGCCCACAGCUGGCCCUCUGGAUACCCUUAGCAAAAGGCUGGCUUUCCUUUCUCACAGCUGUCACUCAGCACAAGAUGACAUUCAGGAAAAGCAGGCCCGGCUGUCAUCUAAGUCCACGAACACAAGAACGUGGCCUUCAGAUGCAACAGCUUCAAUGAUCUCCUUGUGCUGCUCCCACCCGCUCUACGCUGUCCUAGGGUGAGACAGCCUGCCAGGAAGGGGCGCCACUGGGGGCCACAGACCCUGCAGGAGGACCCAUCAGUUUACCCCAAGAAUACUUUGUGACGUGCUCCCCAGGGAAGCGGUGGGCACGUGUGUCUGUGUGGGUCUGUGCGUGGUGUGCAUGUGAGCGCGUAGGGGUGAGUCCACGCCCUGCUGCGGCCCUCUGGGAGAGCUGUGCCUGUCUGCGACCGCGGAGGCAGAGCCACGCAGGCGGCCCCCUCCACUCGCAGCCUCCCUCUGGUCCCAGGCCUGUCCUGGGUGCGGCCCCACCUGCGCGUCUCAGGCUGGCAGGAGGCAGAGAGGGCGGGGGAGUGACUCUGGGUCCGUGUGCAGGUGGCACCGGGGGUGGAGGCGCACACAGCAGCCUGCACUCGUUGAAAAGGCUGAAGAGGCAAAAACGGUGUCAGCCGUUUCCUAUUCCUCAUGCGAACCAGUGACUCCUCCCACCCAGGCGAUGACCAGAAAUUCUCUAACAUUCCAAGCAGUCUGCCUAUUUUCAGGGGGGAAAUACUCCCGAUCUUUCUGGAAUAGGGCAGUAGCACCUUCUGUGAAGAUGGAAACGUUCUGUAUCUGAGCCCCCCAAACAGGGGUUGCGCAUACUCCAAAAUUCUAGUGUGCUGGAAUGUGACCCACCACGUGUGGCCAGUGCAGGUCCACAGGAGGUCACCCGAGCUGGCGCUGACCCCGUGGCUGCCUCGUUUGUGCUAUGAGCACAGCCCCCAAUCAGGCCAACAUCGGUGUGGACUGUGAGCCCUGACGUGCACCCGUGUUGGUUCCUCAGCCCCUCGCUGUGUGUUCUUCAGAAUUCACCAGACGCCUAACCUAGCGAGACUCCUCCUCAAGCAAUGAGGACCUGGAAGGCCCCCGUCAAAGCAGAAAGCUGCCGUCACGCAGGAACCCGGAUGAGCCGGCAUUGUCCACACCUGCUGGGCCUCAGGGACGCACCUGGAGCGGCUGCCUGAGAACGAGCUGUGUCUGGAAGAGCGGCUGGAGUAGGAGCUGUAGGACGAGGACCGGGACCGGGACCGGGAGGAGCCGGAGCCAGAGUACGAGGACGACCGCGACGACGACCUGCAGCCCGGGGGAGAAGAGAAGGCGGGGUCUCCUUCUGCCCGCCCCGGCGCACACACACAUGCCCGCCCUCCGGCUGCCUCGCGGACACGCUGCUCUCCAGUCCCCUGGCUCGUGGGAAUGGUGCUUAGAAACUAAGACCUGGGUGCUGGGUGCGCUCACCGUCACCGGUGACACAGCUCCCAGGCCCUCGGGGGACAGAGCCAGGAUACGUGUGCCCGUGUGUGUAGGUUUAAUUCACUGAAAGAACAUUGUCUCCCAGCGAGAGGGACGAGAGCAGGACAGGUCAACGUUGUGACGAAGAGCAUCAGGACUGAGGGCCAGCGGGCUGGUGACAGCAGGACCUGCUGGGCCCCGUGAGCAAGCCACCGCCACGCGGACUCCCCACGUGCUCACCACCAGCCGGGAACGCAACAAGGCCAAACCGCGCAGGCGAGUGGGAGCAGGGGGCCGGCAGCAGCUCAGCAGCGCAGCACUGGAGACAAGGCUCAGCUCCAAGCCAGGGUGCCUUGCACCCCACACCAAAGCAGCCCUGCUCUACAGGGAGCCAGAGCACAGGGUCCCAGAACAGUUCAGUCUGAAGGUAUCUGCUGGCCCUGUGAUGUUUACUAAUUAAAAAGUCACACAGAAAGUAAAAACAGAGAAAUAAAAACCCCAGGAUCUCGCUCUCUGGGGUCAGCCACCACUUAGCACCUCUGAAUUUCCUCUCUGCCUCUAUGUCAUUCCCCGCGAUGAACCUGGGAGCACAGCUGAGACCACCUGGGGACUGCUCCACCCGGAGCUGGCCUCCCUGACGGUGCAGGAGUUCACUGUCAGGUGUUAUGUAAUUUAGACAUUUCUCUACAGUUAGCUGUUUCUGUGUUUAAAAAACACAAAGAACAAGAAAAUCACCCUUUAUAUAAAUCUUUACGGACAUCACGU